rnacentral:rRNA from 1 species
GUAGGGAAUCUUCCGCAAUGGACGAAAGUCUGACGGAGCAAUGCCGCGUGAGUGAAGAAGGUUUUCGGAUCGUAAAACUCUGUUGUUAGAGAAGAACAAGGAUGAGAGUAACUGCUCAUCCCCUGACGGUAUCUAACCAGAAAGCCACGGCUAACUACGUGCCAGCAGCCGCGGUAAUACGUAGGUGGCAAGCGUUGUCCGGAUUUAUUGGGCGUAAAGCGAGCGCAGGCGGUUCUUUAAGUCUGAUGUGAAAGCCCGGAGCUCAACUCCGGAAUGGCAUUGGAAACUGGUUAACUUGAGUGUUGUAGAGGUAAGUGGAACUCCAUGUGUAGCGGUGGAAUGCGUAGAUAUAGGAAGGAACACCAGUGGCGAAGGCGACCACCUGGACUGAUACUGACACUGAGGUGCGAAAGCGUGGGGAGCAAACAGGAUUAGAUACCCUUGUAGUCC